GACGAACGCUGGCGGCGUGCUUAACACAUGCAAGUCGAACGGAAAGGCCCUGCUUUUGUGGGGUGCUCGAGUGGCGAACGGGUGAGUAACACGUGAGUAACCUGCCCUUGACUUUGGGAUAACUUCAGGAAACUGGGGCUAAUACCGGAUAGGAGCUCCUGCUGCAUGGUGGGGGUUGGAAAGUUUCGGCGGUUGGGGAUGGACUCGCGGCUUAUCAGCUUGUUGGUGGGGUAGUGGCUUACCAAGGCUUGACGGGUAGCCGGCCUGAGAGGGUGACCGGCCACAUUGGGACUGAGAUACGGCCCAGACUCCUACGGGAGGCAGCAGUGGGGAAUAUUGCACAAUGGGCGGAAGCCUGAUGCAGCAACGCCGCGUGCGGGAUGACGGCCUUCGGGUUGUGAACCGCUUUCGCCUGUGACGAAGCGUGAGUGACGGUAAUGGGUAAAGAAGCACCGGCUAACUACGUG
rnacentral:rRNA from 1 species